GGGAUGAACAACUUUUGUCACGUGACCGCAAAAGUCAACGCCGGUUGCAGAAACAGAUUGUAAUCUUGUACAUUAAGGUAAGUUUUGUUGUUUUUUCAUAUAAUCAAAAUUUCAGUUUUUAACAAGUGAUAGCCUAUGACACAGUAUACUAAAUAAACUUUUAUUUGAAAUGAUUCCAUUGCCUUUACUGUUUCCACUUUCCGAGAACACUUCGACACAAAAUUCUGAAAUGCAUUGCAAACGCUGUUUGUUUAUGUGGUGUUGAUGAUUUUCUUUCAACAAUAUUGGUUUAACGACUGAAUUAGUAUGAUUUUACACUUCAUUUUAAUAUAUUUAAUAAGAUUCAUGACAAAAAUAGCGGUGCAAAUUGAAAAAUAUCUUAUUUUUUUGUUUUGUUUUGUUUUGCAAACGCAGGUUGGUAUUUCUUGAGCAAUAGGAAAUGGCAAACGCAGGUUGCGAGAAUAUUCAAAGGAUAAUGAAACGCACACUGUACACAUUUUUGAAAGUCUUCUAAAAUAUGAUAUGGUUACAAAUACGAAAAUAUUAACUAUUCAACACAAUAUAUGACUACGGAACUUCAAUUGAGGACAUUUAAACAGAGCGGAAAUAUGCUUAUCAACACAUUAAGUACUGUUACAAGUAUAUUGAACCACAACGUGCGUUGCCUCCUUUAAGCGGACCUCGAAUGACGCUAAACGCGCCAAAACUCACGAAAAUCCCGUGCAUUAGUAAACACGCAUGUUUAUUGAACUGUGACGAAAAGAAUAGCAGAUAGUGUGUCACAUCCAAUCACUUGCGUUUCAUAUCUCUUUUGGUGUAGUCUUUAAAACUUUAUAAAAACAUUUUAGAAAUAUAUUUUAACAAAAAGUAAUUCUUUCAUUACAGAAACAUGACUCUCGUGUGUGAAAUCUGUGGAAAGACAUUUAAAUCGAAGUGGGGGUUAAAGCUUCAUGAUAAGCGCCACAGAGGGACUGGACGAUUCGCCUGUUGUGGAAAAACAUUUUACACAAAACAGGCGUUCAACAGACACAGAUGCAGCAUUCAUGGUGUUGAAAAGCCGUUCCCCUGUGAACAAUGCGGCAAAAAGUUUUCAACCAAAGAUGACCUGAAUCGUCACGUCCGGAGGGAGGUUGCUGCAAAGCAAUUUACCUGCUCAAUUUGCAAUGCAACGCUCCGGGAGAAAAUUGACCUUCAGGCCCACCUUGCCACCCACAAUGGAGAGAAAAACUUUGCUUGUGAUAUGUGUGAAAAGAGGUACAGGCACCGCAGUAGUCUAUCAAAGCACAGAUCUGCAAAGCACCGGGCCUAGUCAUCUGUUGCAUGACGAUGAUAAGACCAAGAAUUAUUUUUAAUUCUUACCAAUGUGCCGUGGUUAUUUUCUUAAUUAUUGAAAAUACAGACUGUCAUACAAUAAUAUAUAGUAUUACGCGUGUUUUUGCGUCUUAAACAUUGUGUUUCAUAUCGUUUAUCUUGUGUUGUUUUGUUUGAUAUUCCUGUUUUUAAUAAGAUUAUUGUUGUAAUAUUUAUCAUUCUAAUUUAAAAUGAUUAUGAUAAUGGUUGAUCUCAUACAAAUUAUUGUGUUCAUUAUUGCUCAUCUGUGAUUACUGUUGAUCUCAGCCCAUGAAUUGUGAUUUAUAUUGAUUAUCUGUGAUUAUUGUUGAUCUUAUCAAAAUAAUUGUAAUUUAUGUUGAUUAUCUGUGAAUUUUUUAUCUUAACCUAUUAAUAGUGAUUUAUAUUAUCUGUGAUUAUUGUUGAUCUUAUCAAAAUCAUUGUGAUUUAUGUUGAUUAUCUGUGAUUAUUGUUGAUCUCAACCGAUUAAUUGUGAUUUAUAUAACCAGUGAUUAUUGUUGAUCUUUUCAAAAUCAUUGUAAUUUAUGUUGAUUAUCUGUGAUUAUUGUUGAUCUUUUCAAAAUCAUUGUAAUUUAUGUUGAUUAUCUGUGAUUAUUGUUGAUCUCACCAUAUCCGCUGGAAUAUACAUUUGAGCCGCGCUCUGUGAAAAGGGGGUUUAAUGCAUGUGCGUAAAGUGCAGUCCACAUAGGCUAAUCAGGGACGGCACUUUCCGCUUUUAUGAUAUGUUUUGUUAAAAGAAAGUCUCUUCUGAGCAAAAAUCGAGUUUAUCGGAAAGGUUUGUCCCUAAUUAGCCUGUACGGAAUGCACAGGCUAAUAUGUGACGACACCUUACGCACAUGCAUUAAACCCCCUUUUCACAGAGCGAGACUCAUUUGUAAUCUGCGAUUUUUGUUUAUCUAUUUCGAAUCAAUAUGAUUAAAAUAUAUUUUUGGUGAGUUAGCUUUUUGUCUCAUUGGAAUCAUUGUGCGAAUUGUCAACAAUUACAUGUAAAUCUGUAAUUCCUUCUCAAGUUGCACAUAGGCCAGUUUAAUGUUUUGCGUAUAAGCUAUUAUUGCGAUACGGGAUAUUCUUUGCAGCAAUAAAACAAUUAAUCUGCA